GAAAUGCGAUAAUUAAUGUGAAUUGCAGAAUUCAGUGAAUCAUCGAGUCUUUGAACGCACAUUGCGCCCCCUGGUAUUCCGGGGGGCAUGCCUGUCCGAGCGUCAUUGCUGCCCUCAAGCACGGCUUGUGUGUUGGGCUUCCGUCCCUGGCAACGGGGACGGGCCCCAAAGGCAGUGGCGGCACCAUGUCUGGUCCUCGAGCGUAUGGGGCUUUGUCACCCGCUCCCGUAGGUCCAGCUGGCAGCUAGCCUCGCAACCAAUCUUUUUAACCAGGUUGACCUCGGAUCAGGUAGGGAUACCCGCUGAACUUAAGC
rnacentral:misc_RNA from 1 species